rfam:Flavobacterium suncheonense GH29-5 = DSM 17707 strain GH29-5 contig4, whole genome shotgun sequence.
CUUUAGCCCCGAUGGGAGCGGCACCUUGUAGAGCGGACAGCGGGAACAGGG